rnacentral:lncRNA from 10 species
UUAGAGGCAGGAGCUUGGUGGCAAAGGCAUAUUGAUAGAAUUUAUAUCAAAUACUGAAGUUUGCAACAUAAAAAUGAAUCACUUUAUUAUUUCCUAUAGACAUGCAGCUGCUCAAAACAGCAUGCUCCCAGGUCACAAAUGCGUGUAUCGAUUAGCAUAUAACACAUGCCUAUUGGCCUUGAGCUAAGCAUCCAGGACUCUAUGGCCCUUGUCCCCCAGGAGGAGGAAAUUCAAGCAAAAGUCUUUGGUUCUCACUGCAACAACAUCCAUGUGUGCGCCCAGCCUGGGAUACCUGGUGUCUUUGGACUCCUGAGAGUUCGUCAUGUUUAUAGCUCUGCAGUAUGCUCCUGAGGACAGAUGCUGUCACUCCAGGUGCUUCUCCACCUGGACAGACAGAUCUCAGUGACAACGCUGAAGAAAUAAAUUUAAAAAGGAAUUGGAGUCCCUGAGAGAGUUUUGAAAUCUUGGUAGAAUAUACUGGUUCCAUGGGAAGCUUUUUGUCUCAAAAAGGACGCUAAACCUUGUAUGUCUUCUUUGGGGCUGACUCCAGCACAAAACCCACUUCCAAUUCACAAAUGUGAAGAGCCAUUUUGUUCCAGGAAAGCCAUGAAGUAAGGUGAAUGCACAUGUUUAGGCUGAAAGGCAGUCUUCUGUCUGGUUCUCUACAGCUCUCCUCUCCCCCAUCCAGGUGGGUCUCCUGAGAACCAUGUGGCAGGAGGAGUGGAGGGGGUGGCUGGGCAGAGACUGGAAGGGAGCGGCAUGGGGGCAAG